CGGCAUUCCUGCAGAACGGAGGAGACGGAGGAGACACGCACGCGCACACACACACACGCGCGCGAACACACUCGUUCAGAGAUGACACACUGACACGCAGCGCUGCUCUGAGGCGUCUUCUACUUCUUCUUUAGUUAGAGUCUGGAGCAGCUUUAACACACUGCAUCUCUCCUGAAGGACGCUCACACCCUUCACACACAGGUGCAAAAACUUCUGAUUUUUAUUUGUUUUCUUGGAAGUUUUUUGGCCUCUUGCUACACACACACACAAACACACACAAACACACACACACAAACUUCCAUCCAUUUUAGGUGCAUUUUUUAUUUUCAUCUUUUCCAGUCAGACACCCACUGGUUCUGCGUAGCUUUUUCUUACUUUCUCUUCUUUUCUUUCUUUAUUUUAUUUACUACCAAACAUUUUUUGGCUUUGGGAUCUGCCCAGUUAAAGCGUUGGAUCCGUCGGCGUACUGCGAUCCUCCUCCGGUGUUCGGCCCGGACCUCUGCCCCAACAUGAUCGCUGCUCAGGCGAAGCUGGUCUACCAGCUCAACAAAUACUACAACGAGCGGUGCCAAUCACGCAAGGCGGCCAUCGCCAAGACCAUCCGCGAGGUGUGUAAGGUCGUAUCAGACGUCCUGAAGGAGGUGGAGGUACAGGAGCCGCGAUUCAUCAGCUCUCUGAGUGAGAUCGACGCACGCUACGAGGGCCUCGAGGUAAUCUCACCUCAUGAGUUUGAGGUCGUGCUCUACCUCAACCAGAUGGGCGUCUUUAAUUUUGUGGACGAUGGCUCGUUGCCAGGCUGCGCUGUCCUGAAGCUCAGCGAUGGGAGAAAGCGAAGCAUGUCUCUCUGGGUCGAGUUUAUAACCGCCUCGGGGUAUCUGUCAGCGCGAAAGAUCCGAUCGAGAUUCCAGACUCUGGUGGCGCAGGCGGUGGACAAGUGCAGCUACCGUGACUCCGUCAAGAUGGUGGCCGAUACAAGCGAGGUGAAGCUGCGGAUCCGGGAGCGUUACGUAGUGCAGAUCACUCCGGCCUUUAAGUGCACCGGAAUCUGGCCCCGGAGUGCUGCUCAGUGGCCUCCUCCACACAUCCCGUGGCCCGGACCGAACCGGGUCGCCGAGGUCAAAGCUGAAGGAUUUAAUCUACUCUCGAAAGAAUGUUACACAUUAGCAGGAAAGCAAAGCUCGGCCGAGAGCGAUGCCUGGGUCCUGCAGUUCGCAGAGGCAGAAAACCGGCUGCUGAUGUCUGGCUGCAGGAAGAAGUGUCUGUCGGUUUUAAAAACGCUCCGUGACAGGCACUUGGAGCUGCCAGGCCAGCCGCUCAAUGGCUACCACAUGAAGACGCUGCUGCUGUACGAGUGCGAGAAGCACCCGCGUGAGAGCGACUGGGAUGAGGCGAGCCUCGGAGAUCGCAUCAACGGCGUCCUGCUGCAGCUCGUCUCCUGUCUACAAUGCCGCCGGUGUCCUCACUACUUCCUCCCCAACCUUGAUUUAUUUCAGGGCAAAGCGACGUCAGCCCUCGAGGCAGCCGCCAAGCAGACCUGGAGGCUCGCGAGGGAGAUCCUGACCAACGCUAAGAGCCUGGACAAACUCUGAACUCUAAAAAUAAAUGAACUCAAUUAACUCGAAACAAAAGACAUGAGAACGGUGAAAAAAAGAGAGAUCUGUAACCACGCCUGGAAAAAAUCAACCAACAAACAAGACCUAGAAACUCACAAGAGAAAUUCUGAGCCGUGACAAAAGCCAGGACCGACUUGAAUAAACAAAAACAUGCAGAGUCACCAAACUCGAACAAUUUACAAAGACACAAACGGGGGAAAAAAUACGUGAGACUCACAAGUCUCAAAUCCAAGAGCCUGAAUAAACUCUGGAAGAAAAAGAAAAAACAAGGUCUGGACAAAUCUGCAGCACCCUGGAAAAACUUUAGAAAACAAAGUAAAGCUAAGAGCGAAGAGACUUCCAGGAAGAAAUCCUGGACAAAAGAAAUCCACAGUAAAUAAAAACGAAAUCUAAUGAUGAGGCACGAUGAAGAUGACUAAAGUUUCACAAAAACUUUUUUCCCCAUCAGGACAUUUUACAGCAGCGAAAAUAAAUAAUAAACUUCACAUUUCAUUUUAACGUCAUGACCUUUUUAACAUCAAGUCGACGGCCUGGACAAAAGUGUAAAAUAAAAACAAUAAUAAUAAUAAUAUUUAAAAAAUUAAAAAUAAAAAAUCAAUGAAGAUUUGAAAAGAGAACCUCUGCAGACAUACGAACACUCCAGACUUUUAUUUUCACUGAAAGUGGACUUAAAGGAGUCGAACCAUGAGAAAGGUUUCAGCCGAGACGCAAACGGGACAUUAUGAGAGGAGAAAAAAAUAAGAGCGAAGGAACAAGAGCGUAAACACAACAAAAUCUCACUGAGUGAAAAACGGAGUGAAUGCAGCCUCUGAACUCCUGUUACUUCAGUUACUUCAGACUCGUUGUGACCUUGUUGUGACCUCCAUGACGUUUGGACCGAAUCCUGUUCAUCUGUGAUGAUUAUCUACAAAUCCUGUAAACACUCUUAAAUCCUCUGGAUCACAGCAAGUCUCAGAUCAGACUAUUUUCACUGA